rnacentral:tRNA from 1 species
GCCCGGGUGGCGGAACUGGUAGACGCGUGCGCCCGUCAAGCGCAUGCUCGCAAGAGCGUGCGGGUUCGAAUCCCGCUCCGGGCG